rnacentral:rRNA from 1 species
AUGCGAGCUAGAGGAGCAUCCUGGAAACGAUGCGGCAGCGGGAAUCUCGGAGCGGGCCGAGUUCCAGUUCGUCUACGUGCCCACCGUGAUAGUCGACCUCGUGCUUCGCUCCCACACCUGCUCCGAGAAGGCGCUCCCAGCUUGCCUACGUGGUCGGUUGCUCCAGGAUGUAGCUUGGGAAGGUCAGACUGUUGGAGUUGUAGCAGUUGUAGAUUUCUUCAAGGCAAAAAUAAAGCAUUUGCACUUGGUGAUAUGAAAAAGGUGAUGCAAGGAACUGACGACCUGUUUGCAGCGAGAAGGUGA